UUAUAUUUGCAAUGUGAAAGGAUUUCACUGCAGUCUGCAUGACUACUUAUUUUGUCUGAGUUCGUGCUACUUUGACAUAUAUGUCAUUGAUAAACAAUUUUACAAGACGAAACUGUUUAGCGAAGUAAUUAUUUUUCUCUAGGCUUUUUACUGAAGUACUGAAACCAUGUCAUUUUUGUUAUUUUAGAAUUAAGACUAUUGUGAUUUACAAUGUGUGUGCAACACAGUUAGUAAUAAGAAUGCUAUUGAAAAUGAUCAAUAUAAGUUGUUGAAACACUGAACAUGUGAAAUAGUGAAAGUUUGUUUUGAAUUAAAGAAAAAACAUAUACAUGUGAAUUUCGCCAGCACUUAGUUUAAGUGACUUUAUUGGAAUUUAUGAUUGUGUUUUACAUAUAAUAUCUCCCUGGCAAUCAAGAGGCACAAAUGCCUAUUUCAAGAAAACAAUCCUUACAAUUAUGUAGUACAACUAAGUAAAAACAAGUAUUGCUAAGAUGUUGUAGUAUUCUAUUGAUACAAUCAUCAGUGUUUAAUUAGGUUUGCCCAAUUCAUCGUACUUUAUCUGCUAUGUUGGUCCAUAGCUGAAACUUCAAGUUUAUAUUAUCUUACCUGAUCUGGUGCCUCUAUCUGAUAGUUUAGUCCAUGGCUGAAACAUCAAGUUUAUAUUAUCUUACCUGUAAGGUGCCUCUAUCUGAUACUUUAGUCCAUGGCUGAAACAUCAAGUUUAUAUUAUCUUACCUGUCUGGUGCCUCUAUCUGAUACUUUAGUCCAUAGCUGAAACAUUAAGUUUAAAAAGUAAAUUAAAUUGCUAUACUAUGUUCAAGUAUGGAACCAUAAUGGAAACCAGGAUACACAUAAAAAAAAAAGAAUAAUAGGUAUGCUGGUGGGCAGUGGCGGAUCCAGGAAUAUUUUGGAUGAUAAUCUGAGAUCAUUGGUCGAAGUCCAGGAUCUGCCGGAAGAUCUUUCAAGUGCACUACUUUGCUUUGCUUUGCACUAGUUUAUAAAUUCUCAAGAUUGUUUAAAGUUGGAGUAGUUGAUGGCUGCUCCAUUCAUGACUUUCUCUUGCGAUAUUUAUCCAUAACUAGAAAAAAAUUAAGCAAGUUCACCUAUAAUUUUUUACUUAUUUUAAUUACUAAAACUCAUGAAUUACAAAAUUUCCUUUCUACGAUGUCUAAUUCUAUAUAGUAUGACCCAAAUUCUCAAAAGGACAAUACAUUAAUCAUAGAAUCCCUUUACACUUGGUGUUGUACUUUUACUUGUGCUCAUUAAUUACAACAAAGAAUAUGGGUUUGGAUUUUAGUAUUACUUUUGGGUUUCUAUUAUUAUAUUUUUAGUUGGGCUCCCAUAACUUUAUUGUUGGAAAUUUAUAUGGGUUUGAACUUCCAAUGGACUAAUUCAAAUUUUGUUACUCAUUUCUUCAGUGCUCUAGUAAGUUGGGCCAGGUGUGCAAUCCUCAAAAUACAUUUUUUUUUGUUUUUUGUUUUGUUUUUUUUUUUUUUUUUUUUUUUGGGGGGGGGGGUUGCAGAUUGUAAACCCAACGAGGGUUCAUAUGCUAAUUUGGAAAUUUUAGGGGUGCACCUGCACCCCUAGCCUUGUCUAUAAAUCUGCCCCUGCUGGCGGGUUCAUGUCGAUGUAACUGGAGAUAACAACAUGCAUAAGGUGUAACCUUCUUUGUACUUCCUAGGAUAAAGCUGAAUCUUAUUGGAGUUUUUAGGUUGUAUAAGCUUAUAAGUGUGUGUCCAGGGCAGUAGGUGUUCUAACUUAUGAGCUGGUCUUUAAGGUUUUACAGUAUGAUUCUACAUUGCUCGUAACACCCUCGGUGAGGUAAGUAGAUCCUGUUCACAAUCUUCAUUUGACAAAGAUUUAAGUCAUGGAUGAAGGGGUUUAAGUGUUUAACCCCUCUUUAACUGGCAAAAGGGGCUGGGGCAUGGGUUUCGGGGGUUAACCAGGUUUUAACUUCCAAAUACUAGUGGGGUUUAACCAGAUUUUAACUUCCAAACACUAAAAACCAACAGGCAUUUAGAUAAACCAUAAAAGAAGGAUUAAGAGGGGUUACUGUUUCAAACCUGGGUGCUCAUUGUUCUGUCUCCC